rnacentral:lncRNA from 1 species
CUCAAAAUCAGAGCAGAGACUUGAAGAACGUUGAAUAAUGAGCCUCUUCUGCAGUCAUGUGGCUGAGCUGACUACAGCAACAUGGAGAGUGCCAAGCAGAGGGGGCCAGGUAGACAAGCGUGUAAACUGAAGUGUAACCUCCACCAGCUUUGUCGUAAAUUCUUUGUAGAAUGACUUACUACUCUCCUCAGUUACUCCCUGCCUGCCCAUUCCUGCAUCUUGGUUUCUUCAUCUUCCCCCAUGAUCUAGGAUAAUAUGAUCUCUUCUCCUUCCCCCUGAUUAUUUAAAUCUUCCUCUCACCUCCCUACAUUUUUCACUUGUUAUUUACUUUUUUUUUUUUUUUUUUUUAGAUAGGGUGUCAUUUGACCUAAGCUGGCCUUAACCAUGCUAUGUAGUGAGGAUAAUCUUGAAUGCCUUACUGGUGUGAGCCAUCACUUCUAGUUUAUGUGGUACUGGGGAUAGAAUCCAGGACUUUGUACGUGAUGAGAGCAUUGUGGAUGAGAAUGGUUCAUGUGCUUGAAUACUUUGUCCCCAUUGUUGGAACUGUUUGGGAAGGAUUAGGAAAUGUGCCCUUAUUAGAGAAAGGGUUUCACUAGGAUCAGGCGCUGAGGUUUCAAAAGACACCAUUUAGAGUUAGCUUUCUAGACCUCUUACUUGUGCAUCAAGAGGUGAGCGCUCAGGUGUUGAGGCCAGCAUGCCUUUGUUCCACCAUCAUGGACUUCAAACCUAGGAAACCAUAAGCACAGUGAAACACUUUUGUUUUGUCGGUUGUCUUGGUCAUGGUGCUUUAUCCCAGAAAGAGAGGCAACUACAACACCAACAAGCAAGUGUUCUACCAAGUGAGCUAAACUGCUAGCCCUGAAAGCCUACUGUCUUUGUAAAACCUGCUCCACCCACUCCAGCCUAGAUGACUCUUCUGCCUAGGGAUUCUUGCAAAGUGAUUUGCCGGCUUUUUGAGAUGAGAUCUUCGGUAGCCCAAACUAUCCUCACUAUGGAGGUGAUCUCCUCAGCCAAGACCUGAAGCAGCUGGAAGGCCCUCGCUGGGACAUCAGUCCCAAGCUCUGGAAUGCCUCAGCCUCCAAACUGUGAGAAACAAAGAUAUUCUGUUAGGACAGCAGAAAAUGAACUGAGCCAUUUCAGUUUCAGAAGAUGGAGUAGAGGCACGGCCUGUGCUGGGACCAGCAUGACAGAAAUGUCAGGAGAUGUCUGGAAUUAAGAGAAUUACAAAGAGAAGGGGGAAACAUACGAAGAAACGCAGAUCAAGAGUCCAAAGGCGAAAAUGCUGAAAUGAAGAUUAGAAUGCAGGAAAGUUAUAUGGAAGUGGCUUUUGGAUCAGUAUCUAUGGAUUAGUGCAAGCAGCAGGAUCAGACUGCAGUCCAACAGUGCCUCAGUGGGGACAAACGCCUCUGCCAGCUCCAAGGGAACUUUAGAGGGCAGAGAUCUAUUUAUGGUCCUAAGAGACUACUGAGGCCAAUGAGUUUGAGAAGAAUGUUAAUAUCAAGACAACAGAAGAUACUAAUGAAGCAAGAGAAUCCUGUUGGAGACAACAAAGAACACUUCUGCAAGGAAGGGCCGGUUAUGGCAACUGCAAUCAGCUCUAAGGGUCUACCAUCAAAUGGUUACCCAUUUGGUGAUGAUAAUCAAGUUCUACAGCGAAUCACUUGGACACCAAUAAAAAGUCAAAGGACC